rnacentral:lncRNA from 1 species
AGGCGAACUGAAUUAAGUUGUGGGGGAAAUACAAGUUCUGUUAAUGCACAAGGAGGAAAACCAGAUGGAUUCUUGAAGGUUGGUGGGUUAAAACUUCCUGAUUGGCAUGUAUACUUGAAGGUUUUAGACAAAAACGAGUGCCAUCAGCGUUGCUUGAGUAACUGUUCUUGCUCAGGUUAUUCAUAUGUAGAUGGAAUAGGCUGUUUGGUUUGGACAACAAACCUUUUGGAUAUGCAUGAGUUACCCUUUGGUGGACAAGAUCUUAAUCUUCGCCUUGCGCUUACAGAAUUGGGUGAAAGUAAUUACAAUUGAACAACUUGUGAAUUUCUUUGUUUCCAUUUUAUUCUUUUCUUGCACAGGGAUUACUAAUUGGGAUCAUUGUCAGUGUUAUUACUGUUUCAUCUGUCAUCCUCAUUGGUUCCAUGAUUUGUUGUUUCAUGAGGUGGAGAGCGAAGAAAAGGUCUAAGCCUAAAACAAAUGGUAAGAAACUGAUUGCUACUUUAAUGAUGUUGUACAAUGAUCAGGCAACUAGAUUUGACUUAAAUGUUGAAUUUGAAAUGGAUAUGUUCAUAUGAUGUCUAGUAACAAACAACCAAUGUUUUACAAGACAUUAUAGAAAAAGUCCUUAAAAAAAAGUUUUGGCAGCUUAAAGUGCUAAUAAAGGCUAAGCUUAUUGAUUUGAAUUUUGUGCUUACUGAUGGAUGCUAAAGAAACACAAACGCUUUGAUUUUGCAGCUCCAAGUGACACGUCUAGAGAAAAUGAAGAUUCAAUAGAGUUGCCUUUAUUUGAUUUCAAUAACAUAAUGCUUGCAACUAACAACUUUGAUAUAGAGAACAAACUUGGGCAAGGAGGCUAUGGUCCGGUUUACAGGGUAGGUACUUCAAUUUUCUUUUCCAAAGGCAAAAAUGUUUUACUUCAUUGGAGAAAAUAAAACAUGGAGUGUUAUUUUGUAUGGAUAUUAGGGAACAUUAGAUGGGAAGGAUGUGGCAGUUAAAAGACUUUCUAGUAGCUCUAGUCAAGGCAUAGGAGAGUUCAAGACUGAGAUGAAGUUGAUCUCCAAACUCCAACACAGAAAUCUUGUCAGGCUCUUAGGUUGCUGCAUUGAAAGAGAAGAGAAGAUAUUAGUUUACGAAUACAUGCCGAACAAAAGUUUAGAUACUUAUCUAUUUGGUUGGUUUUCCUUCUGAUUUUUUUUUUCUAAUUUCUUAUAAUCAUUUUAUUUUGUAGUGCGUGUAAAAUGAACUUAUGUUAUCAUAUAUAUUGAUCAGAUACAACAAGAAAGGCUGAGCUUGAUUGGACUAAACGUUUUAACAUUAUAAUGGGAGUUGCUCGAGGACUUCUUUAUCUUCAUCGUGAUUCUUGUUUAAGGGUUAUACAUAGAGAUUUAAAAGUGAGUAAUAUUCUUUUGGAUGAGAAGAUGAAUCCAAAAAUAUCAGAUUUUGGUUUAGCAAGAAUUUUUGAAGGCACACAAGAUUUGGGAAGCACUCACAAGGUUGUAGGAACAAUGUAAGCAAUUUUAUUUACCAAAAUGCUUGCGCUUUCAUGCUAGCUGGUAACAUCGUCCAUAAAACAUAACGUACAAGUGCUAAAUACUUUAGUUCUCUUCUCAAAUACAGAGGUUAUAUGGCUCCAGAAUAUUUGUUUGGUGGCAUAUUUUCAGAGAAAUCUGAUGUGUUCGGCUUUGGAAUAUUGAUCUUGGAAAUUGUCAGUGGUAGGAAGACUAGCAGCUUCCAAUAUGAUGAACAAAACAUGAGUCUUCUAUCUUAUGUAAGUCAGCACUAUAAUCACAUUGAUGUUGUUCUUUUUCCUUGAUUUAGAUUUCGAACUUAAUUGGGAAGAAAAUGCAAAUAUUUUGCAGGCAUGGCAAUCAUGGUCUGAAAGCAAGGGUGUAAGAAUGAUAGAUGAAGCAUUGAUGGACUCAUUUUCCUCUACAGAAGUAAGCAGAUGUGUAAAUAUUGGACUUUUAUGUGCACAAGAUCAUGCUGCUGAUAGGCCAUCAAUGGCAGCCGUAGUUUCUAUGCUAAGCGGUGAAAAAACAAAGCUUCCUGAACCAAACCAGCCUACUUUUACGUUUAAAAGUAUCUCCACCAGCAAUUUUCAAUCACAAAGCAACUCUACACCGUCUGUAAAUAAGGUCACGGAAUCAAUUAUUGAACCUCGAUAAACGCCAACUUGUCGGUUAGCUUGUAUUAGACUUUGACAAUCUCACGCUUAUCCUUGUUUUAGAUUUUUGUCAUACCUAGCUUGAGAUUAUUAGGGCUGUGUAAUCGGUUAAUUCAAUUUCGAAUCGAAUCUAAUUAAAAAAAUUGAAAAUUGAAUUGUAAAAAUAUUAAAAAUUGAAAAAAUAGAUUAUAAAAAUAUAAUCGAAUUGAAUUAAACUGAUAAAAAUCGGUUCAGCUUAAAUUAAAAUUUAUAAUUUUUUUUAAUUUUUUAAUUCUAAAAAAACUAUAUUGCAAAAUUUUCAAAUGCGUCCACGAAAAACCAAACGAUUAGUAAUUUUUAAUAAUAAAAAUAAAAAAAUAUAUAUGAAUAUUUAUAAUAAUAUCAAACAUACAAAGAAUUCUGAUAAAAUAAAAAUAGAAGAUAGAAUAAAAAUAGAAGAAGUGUCUUUGCUAAUAAAACUUUUGCCAAGGCAGAAUAAAAGGAUAGUAAAAUAAUUUAAUAAAUAUUUCACAUAAAUUUAUUAAUAAAUAUUAUCUGAAUAUAUAAUAAUAAUAUUUAAAAAAAUUCAUAUAAAUCUAUAUAAAAUUUAAAAGUAUAAAUAAAAUUAAUAUUUUAAAUAAUAAAAAUAUAUAUAUAAUUGAUUUUUUUAAUUUUUCGAUUAUUUAACACGUUUAAAUCAAAUCGAACUAAAAAUCUAAUAAAUUGAAAAAUAUUAAUCGAAUCGAACUUUCUGAUUAAUCAAAUUAUUAAAUUGAAAUUAAUUGUUUCGAUUUAAUUUUUCAAUUCAAAUUGAUUUAAGCUCACCCUAGAGAUUAUUGAGUGUAUACAUUAUCUCACUAUUUGAAAUGAAAAAUUUUAUAAAAAUUUAAUUUAAUUGAUUUUUUGAAUAAUUUUCUUAUUUGUAAUAAAAAAAAUUAAUUCUUUUUAGUUUAAUUGAAUCUAAGUUUGUGGAUUUGAAUUUGGCCUUUAGACUUUUAGGCCUAUAUCUCCUUUUCUUUUGGCCCAUUAGGCCUUUAAAUACAAUUGUAACAGCAUGUUGAAAAAAAAAAAAACCUGCAUCAGUCCAAUUUAAAUCAGCAAUUUCUUAAAAAAUAAUUUGUUGGACUGGACCAAAUCAAAAUCAAACUGAAGUCAAAAUUUGAACUCUGCUCUCCAGUCUCCAAUUCUUGAUUUCAGGAAUAAAACAGAAUCAGACCAGGUCUAACUAGGGGAGAGCAUAAAUCGGUCUGAACCGAAAAACCGAACCGAACCGAUCAAUUUCGGUUUAAUGGUUCGGUUAAUCAAAAUGUUUGGUUAGGUUCGAUUAAUAUUUUUCAAUUUAUUCAGUUUUCGGUUUGGUUCAGUUUAAACGUGUUAAAUAAUCGAAAAACCAAAAAACCAAUUUUAUACAUAGAAAUACUGAUUUUAUAUAUAUUUUUAAAUUUUAUAUGAAUUUUUAUGGAUUUUUUAAAUAUUAUUAUUAUGUAUUCAAACAAUAUUUAUGAAAUUUAUGUGAAAUAUUUAUUAAAUUAUUCUACUGAAAUUAAAAAUAGAAAAUUAAAAAAAAUUACAGAUUUCGGUUUGAAUCGAACUGAACCGAAUCGAUUUUUAUCGCUUCGAUUCGAUUUGAUUAUAUUUUUAUAAUCGAUUUUUUUGAUUUUUAAUAUUUUUAUACUUCGAUUUUUUAUUUUUUCAAUUCGGUUCGGUUUAAAACCGAACCGACCAAUUGCACAGCCCUACUCUAACAGGAGAAAUUAGUUAUUUUUAUCUUUUUGUUAUUGGGUUGAAGUUGGGGAGUUUUGGAUUUAUUUUAUUUUUGAUCAAUGUCAAAACUUUAUGCUGAUUUAUGAUAUAGCCUUUAAAAUAAAUUAUAAAAAAAUAAUUAUUUUACACAGAAUAUAUAUUUAUUAUUUUAUUUUUAAUUAUACAAUACAAUAUUCAUCUGUAAUAUUUUUUAUUUUCAGAAUUGUAUUAUAAGUUUUUUAAUUUAUAAAAUUCUUAAUUAAUUAUGUUAAACAUUUAUUAAAAAAUAUUUUAAAGAUAUAAUUUGAAUAAUUUAAUCUAACAAGUUAAUAAAAAAUUUUUGAUAGUCAACCUUUUUAGUUAAUUUUUGAUAGUUAAUUUUAGCUAAGUAAUAGCAGUUGUUGUAAUUUUAUAUUUAAAAAAAAUUAAUAAAAGUUUAUAUAAUUUUUUUUUGAAAUGGGAAUUAGAGAUAGUUAGAGUAGAAUUUGAAAUUUCUCAUAUUUAUUCGGAUACACUGACCAUCAGAUUAAAUAUGUGAGUGUGUUUAUAUAAUUUUAUAUGCUCUUAAUUUUUUUUAAAAAAUUUAUUUAUAGAUUAUUUUUAUUAUUAGAAAUAUUAUAUUUCGACUUUUUUAAGUAGUAUUAUUAAACAAUAAUUGUGCCUACUAAUGGUGCAAAUUAUAUUUUUAUUAUUUUAUUUUAAUCAUGUAUCGUAAUUUUUAUUUUAAUAUUUUAUAUUUUCAAAAUUAUAUGAUAAGAUUUUGUUAAUUAUAGAUUAUUAACUGAUUAUGUUAAAAAUACAGUUGGUAUGUUGGUAUAAGGUAUUCCUGGUGAGGCUGUCAUCUGGGUCGCUAAUAGAGACAAACCAAUUUCUGAUACAAAAGGGGUCUUCACAUUCGAUGAAGAUGGGAAUUUGAUAGUUAUGGACGGAAACAAUGUUUCAGUUUGGGCGAGUAAUCCUCCAGUUCGAGCUAACGAUUCAGUUGCAGUUCUUGAAAACGAAGGUAAUCUCAAACUAUCCAGCAGUCUUAAUAACGUUGCCUAUUGGGAAAGCUCUAAUUAUCCGACGGAUACGUUUUUGCCAAACAUGAAAAUUAUAGCUUCAUCGGGAGAGCAAAAGCACUUCAGUUCUUGGAAAUCUGCAAGUGAUCCUUCACCGGGAAACUUCACCAUGGGAGUUAAUUCUACCGGAGCAGCACAGAUGGUUUUGUGGGAGAAUUCAAGAAGGCGAUGGAGAAGCGGGUACUGGAAUGGACAAAUAUUUACAGGCGUGCCAAAUAUGACAGCACUAGCUAAUUACAGAUAUGGAUUUAAGUAUAUAAACAACGACAAUGGAAAUGAUUACUUUACGUAUAAUCCAUCAAAUGGUUCAGAUUUGAUGAGGUUUCGAAUAACUUGGGAUGGAUAUGAAGAACAGUUGAAAUGGAAUGAAAGCAAAAAGAAUUGGGAUGAGAUGCAAAAACAGCCAGCAAAUAACUGUGAACUUUACAAUUAUUGUGGCGAUUUUGGGGUCUGUAGAGCAUUAGCUGACCCAGAAUGCAGAUGCAUGGAUGGGUUUGUUCCAAGGAAUCCAGAUCAAUGGGCAAAGAAAAAUUGGUCAGAUGGGUGUGUGAGAAGUAGAGAAUUGCAGUGCCAGAAGAAUAUCAGCACAGCAGAAGAAGAUGGGUUUAAAGAGUUAAAAUGCAAUAAAUUGCCAGAUUUUGCUGUUGUCUUCUCUCAGGAUCUCUCGGAUGCUUGUAAGAAAAGGUGUUUAAGCAAGUGUUCAUGUAAUGCUUAUGCAAGAGUUGAAAAUAUUGGAUGCAUGAUAUGGAAUGGUGACUUGAUUGAUGUCCAGGAUUUUGGCAAACCUGGGAUUGUUAUGCAACUUCGUCUCGCUGGUUCUGAAUUUGGUAACACCAUUGCCCUUUUUUUUGUGUGUGUGUGUGUGUGUGUGUACUAGAAUUCCAGUAAUGUUUAUGAAUAAAAAGAGAGAAAAUAAGAAAUCUUGGAACAAUCUUUGAUGUUCUGAUUUGUUUACUUAAUGCAGAUAAAAAGGGAUUGUCUGCAGCUGUGAUUGUAGUGAUUGUUGUGGCUGGAGUCGUCUUCUUAGCUAUAUCUGUAUGGCUACUCUGGUGCCUAAAAAGAAAACUCAAAGGUGGGAUUUUUAAAUUUCUUGUUUGUUCAGUUAAAGUUAAAAGGUUGCAAGAGGCACCUUGGGGAGCAUAUUCUAACAUAUUUCUUUGUUACCCUUUUCCUCAGCUGCUGUUUUGCCCACAGCUGCCUCAGUUUCAUUGAUGAGAAAGAGUGAGGUACCAUUUUCAGACAUGAGCAAGAGUAAAGAGUAUUCAUCGGAGAUGUCUGGACCGGCUGACCUAGUCAUUGAUGGGAGCCCAGUAAAUGGUCCUGAUUUGCCAUUGUUCAAUUUCAAUUCUGUAGCAGAAGCUACAAACAAUUUUUCUGAAGAAAACAAACUUGGGCAGGGGGGAUUUGGUCCUGUCUACAAGGUGAGUGUUUAUUUUACUCAUGUGGCAUGGAAUUUGGAAACCAGAGAUUAAGUAUUGAAGAUAAUAACUAUCUCUUAACUUUUAUGACAGGGAAAGCUUCCUGGAGGAGAAGAAAUAGCUGUAAAGAGGCUGUCGAAAAUCUCUGGCCAAGGUUUAGAGGAGUUCAAGAAUGAAAUCAUAUUGAUCGCGAAAUUACAACACAGAAAUCUUGUUAGAUUACUAGGCUGCUGUAUUCAGGGAGAAGAGAAGAUGCUGCUUUAUGAGUACAUGCCAAACAAAAGCUUGGAUUGCUUUCUUUUUGGUAAAUUUCUUUUACUUGCAUGUUUGCUUAAACUCCGUGUGAAGAGACAGAAAUCAUUUUCAUUUUAUUGUGAAAACAAUGGCAGACCCCACAAAGCAGGCAUUAUUAGACUGGAAGAAGAGGUUCAAUAUCAUUGGAGGGAUUGCUAGAGGUCUUCUUUAUCUCCAUCGAGAUUCAAGACUCAGGAUCAUUCAUCGGGAUCUAAAGGCUAGCAACAUAUUGUUGGAUGAGGAAAUGGAUCCAAAGAUUUCAGACUUCGGCAUGGCCAGAAUAUUUGGGGGAAACCAAAAUGAAUUGAACACGAAUCGAGUUGUUGGCACAUAGUAAGUACAAAUUGUCUUGUCAGAUGAUCCAUAAUUCAAUUCUGGCAAACAAUUUUAGUCUUGAUGUAAUGUGUCACUUUUUCAAAAUGCAGUGGUUAUAUGUCGCCUGAAUAUGCAAUGGAAGGCCUAUUUUCAGUUAAGUCAGAUGUCUAUAGCUUUGGAGUCUUACUAUUAGAGAUCGUGAGUGGCCGGAGGAACACCAGCUAUCGUUUAACCGAUCAUCUCAGCCUCAUCGCUUAUGUAAGUACAUCCGCCAUGAUUUCUAUUUAAGCUUAUCAUUGUUCAUCUAUAGAAGGUUAAUGUUAGUUGAUCUCAGGCAUGGGAGCUUUGGCAUGAAGAUAAAGCAAUGGAGCUAGUCGAUCCUUCUAUUCGAGAUUCGUGUUGCGAGGACGAAGUCUUAAAAUGCAUACAAGUAGGAAUGUUAUGUGUGCAAGAUUCUCCAGUUCAGAGACCAACAAUGUCAUCUAUCGCGUUAAUGCUCGAAAGCAAUAGUCCAACCUUGCCAUUGCCUAGACAACCUACUUAUACUUCAGUCAGAACUUCCUCCAUAGAUACAUCUGAAAUCUAUCUUGAAGGUCAGGAAAUUGUAUCCUCAAAUGAUGUGACUGUUACAAUGAUUGAUGGAAGAUGAUUACCAUUUUGUUUCCCUUAGCAACAUUUUUCUAUGUAAUUCAAUUACAUAUCAACAUCUGUAUAGAGUUUUUGAAUCAAUUUUUCAUUCUGGAAUUUGUUUCCGUUAACUUUUUAGCAAGAAAUUCCAGAACUAGCAAUGACACGGAGUUGAGUUGAAGCUUUCUCAUUACAAGACUAGAGAAUGAGAAGUCAAAUGUUUUGUUGAUCAGCUCAGGACAAAAAUGUACCCAUCUCCUUCUGUAAAAUAUAUCACUAACUCUGUUUCUAUCCUAGAAAUGAAUAUCAAUAUUUGUGUUUUGGCCUUUUCUGCAAUUAAAAAUGAUCAUGGGCAGUUAUGGCUGCUGGUUAAGAGAAAUAUGGUCAACCACAGGUCAUUCUAGAUUCUGAACAAGUAGAAACAUAUGAGAAAAAUCAAUUUGGGCUGGCUUACAGCUAACAAAGAUUUUAUGAAGAUUUUAAUUUGGAACUGCUAGGGAAUUGGGUAAUCCCAAACAGUGCAAGUUUUUAGUGAACUUCUUUGUAAAUAUCCCUCAUGUUUAGUUUUUGUUAUGAAAACUAAAAAUUAAAGACAAUAUAUACAUGACAAUGUUAUAAAGACUAUGGUUAUUUUCGCUCUAUGUUUGUUGAUUCAGUUUUCAAGGCAGUUUGUCAAUUUGAUCCUUGCUUUUGGUGUAAAAAUUUUAUGGACCGUCAUAUCAUUCUAAUGGCUACCAAGCUGUGUUGAAAAAUAAUUUUUAUUUAUGGAUGUUCUGAUAGAGUUUAUAGAGAUUAUUUAUGGAAUGACUUGGUUACUUUACGAUGAGAUGAAUCUCUGCUAUAAUAUGUUAUAUUGGUAAUUUUAAUAUUAUCUAAUCUUUUGCAGAUAAAUUAGAUAGAUAUACAAUGACGGCUUCCUAAGUAUCAAGUUUCAUUACUUUUAACUAAUGUUGUGCUACGUUGGAAUUGUCAUAGCAAGGAUAUCCAUAUACUUGGUUCAAUAAGCGUUUUGGCGCUCAAGAUAUACAACAGCGAUUGAAUAGAGUUUUGGUGUUAAUAGAGUGGCGUUAUUGCUUUUUGAGAGCUCAACUUAUCCAUAAAUCUUUAGUAGAGUCAAAUUAUAGAUCUUUAGUUUUGUUAUUGGACCCUUCUCUAGGUAUUCAUAAUUUUUUGUUCGCUUUGAAACUAAGUGGUUACUUCACCUUUAAUAUUCAAAUAUUAUUUCUUCUACAUGGCCUAUGCCUGUUUCUAGUUCUUUGCUCUUUUGUGCAAAGAUUAAAAGUUCAUAGAUGCUCUUUGAGCUGGUGGAGUAGUAGUGUCUUUAAGAGCUAUUUUUUGAAAAUGUAAUCUUUUCAGCAAUAAUAUGAUAGUUUUGCUGCUCCUCCAUUCUGUACUUCUCGACGCUUAUUUAGACAUAAGGUAUGUUUACUUCCUCCGAAUGAGACCUUAAAAUUUAAUACUGAUGCGGUAUGGAAGAAUCAGUUUUCUUCUAUCGGUAUUGCUAUAGUAAUUCAUGAUACUACUGGUAUUUUAUUGGAUGUAGUGGUUAAGUAUAUUUAGAGUUAUUCUCCUUUGAUACUAGAAGUUUUUACAGUUUUUUAGGCUCUUAACUUAGUUUUGAUUAGAAACUCAUUAAUGGUAAUACUUUAGAAUUCAUCUAAUCUGUUACUAAGAUAUCAAUUUUUUAUUAAAAUAUAUUAUUAUAUAUAAUAAAAAAAUAAUUUUAAACUAUUUUCAAAUUAUUAAUUUAAAAGUAUUAAGAUAACGUUAUCUUAUAACCACUACUAGAAUAUCGUUGCCUAAUGUAAUAGUGUCGACAAGGGAUAUGUGGUCAAGGUCCAUCUUGGCUCAUAAAAUAAACUAACAAAGCAUUUACAAAGGCUAAGCGCAUCCUACUAAGAAGCUUAGGAGGCUAGACUUCAACCUAAAGCAUUCUAGCUAGAAUCGUCCUUGUCAUCGCCACCAUGGCGGAAGGCUCCAAAUAGCAGACUAAAAGAAAAGAUUGAAACUUGAAAUCUCUAUGCAUGUCUAAAGAAACAUUCCUAGACACCAAUGAUAAAAUGAACAAACUUAGCUUCACAAAACAAAAAGGCUCUAUGAUUUGUCACAUGAGGAGAUCCAAUAAAAAAUCUUACCCAGCACAAACUUUUGUUUAUAAGCAUUAUUUUUUCAGUUAAAUUUCUAAAAUCCAGAAAAAGUUUAACGUGAGCAUUUAAACAUCCUUUCUAAGAAGCAACACAAACUGAAUCAGAGAGGAAAGUAGAACUAGAAGUGUAAAGCUCCAAUCUCACAAGCUCAACAUUGAAAGCUAACAGAAGGAAGAAACCGACACCAUGGCAAAUUUCAUUCUUUCAAAGCUAGGAAAGGAUCAUGUUAAGGUUUCUUACACUUCAUUGCCUGUUUCACCAGUCUUUACAAAAUUAUGACGACUAUCAAACAGUGAAAAAACUUUGUUUUAAUGACUACUCAAAUAGGCCAACCUCAUCAAUACCUUAAAAUUACCAAUAAUAAAUCUAAAACAAAGAACAUUCCCUUUCCAUGAACUUGGGUUUGCUCAAUCCAAAACUUUACACAAAUUAAAUUGAUAAGAAAUAAAAAUUGAAAAUUGUUGGAAGCGACCUGCUAAACAAUUCGACUUGAAUCUAACCUCUCUUUGAGACACAGUCGACUAGACAAUGAUUUCAUCUAUAUCUGAUCUCUUCACCCUGUUGAUCUAUCUGGCGUCAAUUUAAGAUGAUAUUUAUGUAAAUAUUUUUUCUUUUUUUAUUUGUUUUCUACUGUAUAAAAAGUUUUGUAUUUAUAGGGUUUUUUAAAUGGGAUAAACUUUGGAUAUAUUGUGACGUUUCUGUAAUGAAAAGCAACAACUUUCAUAUUUAAAUCGUGCGUGUUUUCGUUUCUACAUGGCUCACGAAAGGAACGCAUGGAGAAUUCAGGAAACAAGACAAGUUCUUUCAAUCCACCGCCUUGCUUGGUCUGCCAAAAGACCAACGCAGCUAGUUCCACCGCUUCACGUUAUCUUCUAGGGGAACAAACACAAUCCUUGAAAAAGUAGAGCAUCAUCACAAAAGGCAAGCACAACAGGAGUGCCACUCCAUCAUAACUAGCAACACUAAUUGAAAAAGGAGUAACACGCAACAACAGAGAAACUUCAGUCUUGGUUGGAAGACUUCGGGAAUAGGAUUGACGCUUUCAAAGGAGAGAAUAACAACAAAUAUCCUGCAAUUAGCUGAUCACAGCCAUCGUCACCAAAAACUUGGCCAUCAGGGAAGAAGAGUGGCUACAUGUUGCCCUUUCCGGCCGUGACCCAAACUAAAACUUAAAUUCACCAAACGGAGGAUUAAAAACUCAAAAAGUGAGACUGAACAGCUAAAAAAACAAAAGGAAUGGUGUGUCUUGUCAUGUCAUUAUUGCAUCCUCUAAGAAAAUAAGUAAAGACUGGUACACAGAAAGUCUGUGAAGAGAGGAAAGUUCGGAAAAGAGUUCGGUCUCCGGUUUUCGAUUUCGCCUUCUUGUUGGUAGUUCUGUGAUAUUGUUGGUGUUUUCCUCUGCCUCCAGGCAAGGGAAGGGAGUUUUGCUUGUACAGUUUUAGUCGGCUUGUUGUGGAUGGUUUCCCUUGCCGUCUUUCCUUUGAUGGCUUCCGUGGGUUUGCUUUGGUUUUUGCUUGGCUUUGCCUCUAGAUUGCGGAUUGUGCAAGAGAUAAGGUAAGGAGACUAAAAAAAAUAUUUGCUUAAUGAAAAUUAACUUGUUUAAUUAUUGGUUGUAUAUUAUAUAAUAUAAUAUAAGUAUAUUUAAAAUAAAAUUUAUUAAUUUCAUAUAUAAUUAAUAUUUAAAAAGUUAAUAUUUAUAUAAUACCUUAUUCAAUUUAAAAAAUAUAAUCUAAUUAAAUUUUUAUAUUUUUAUUCAAGAAUUUAAAUUAUAAUUUACUCAAAAACCAAAUAAAAUGUUAUUUAAUAUAAUAUUUUUUAAUAAUAAAAAAUUAUUUUAAUAUAAAAAAUUUAUUUUUAUAAUUUUAAAAAUUAUUUACUAUUCUAUUUUUAAAAAUUUAUAUUAAUUAAAAUAGUUCUCUUUUUAUUCUAUAAUUUUUAUUAUUUUUUUAUUAUUAUUUUAAAAUUAUUAUUUAUUUUUUAACUAUAAUAACAUAUAAAUUUAUUAUUAUAAUUAUUUUAUCUUAUUUUUAAAAAAAAUUAAAAAAUUUAUUAAUAUUUAAUAAAAAUCAAUAUUUUUAAAAUGAAUAUAAUUGAAAAAUUAAUAAAAAAAUUAUAUUUUUUAAUAUAUAUAAAAAAAUAAAAUAAAUAAAAAUUAUAAAAAAUAAUAAUUUUUAUAUUUAAAAUUGUAAAAAAUAAUAUUCUAUUAUUAAAAAUAAUAUUUUAUUUGACAUACUAAUUAGUUAAAAAAUUUAUUUUUUUAUCAAAAAAAAUUAUUUAAUUUUAAACAAAUUUAUAUAAAUUUAAUUCAACUUAUUUCUAUGAUUUAAGAGUAAAAAAAAUAUUCGGGCCAACAAACAUUUGCGACUUGCGAAACCGCACGUAGGCCAUCUCCAACCCUAAACUCUAUGCACCAUGCUUCUAAACUCUAUGCACCAUGCUUCGCACGAUUUUGGUGUUUUGUACUAAAAUGGUGCAAUAUUAUUUUUAAUUUUCUGUACUAAAUUUAACACAAAAAAAAUAUUUUAUUUAUAUUUUUCUUUUUUUAAUAUUAUAUUAUUUAUUUUACUUUAAUUUUAUUUAUAUAUUUCACUUAAAAAAUUUAUAUAAUUUUAUUUAUUUACUCUAAAUAUUUAUAUAUUUUAUAUUUUCAUCCAAUAUUUAAAUAUUUAAUUAUUUUAUAAAUAAACAAAAAAAACAUAUUAAUUAUAAAAAUAUAUUAAUUAAAUAAUAUAUUAUAAAUAAAUUAAUUUAUUAUAAAUAUUAUUUAUAAUUGUUAAUAUAUUAAUUUAAAUUAAAUUUCAAUAAUUAUAAAAAUAUAAAAUAAAUUAAAAAUAUAAUAAAUUAUAAGAGUAAAAAAAUUAAAUUUAAAAAUAUAUAUAUAUUUUAAAUUAUAUUAUAAUUUAAAAAAAUAAAAAAUAAAUAAAUUUUAAAUUAUAUUAUAAAUUAAAAAAAAAGCGCUGCUAUAGUGUUAAGGCGCGAUACUAUAGUGUACGCUAAAAUUUCGUUAAAUUUUAACAUUGAGAGAGCUACCUCCAACGCUAAAAUGAAAUUAGCGCUGAAGAUGGGCUUAGCUUCGCUUUCAUCCAUCUUCAUCACAGCACGUGCCAAAGAUCCACCAAAUAAAUUUGACCGCUACAGCGUUUUUUACACGGUUGCUGCCAAUAGUUGCGGGUCGGAAAUCGAUAUGCCAGAGAAGGAAAAGUCCAGCGAUUUUGGUUCCCACAUACUUUUAGAAGUUAGCGAACGUUCUUUGGACUCCGUCGGUCCACACCCACUUUUUGACCAGCAAAAACUGUAGCUCCUGCCGUUUCAUUCGCAAAACACUAGAGGAGACGCCCCAUAAACAAAAGGUAGGGACUUUUUGGCUGGUGCUCACGAGCUCAGGCAGCUUGGAGCUUAAUACCGUACCUCCUCGGCAAUUAUUUCGUCGGUGCACCGGUGGGUCACCACCUAGUUUAAGAUAUUAGAAAAAAGAUGAAAACUUUUUCCUCUAAUGGGUAAUGGCGUAUGAAGUCGAUAUAACUUAUUUGUAGGUGCCUGCAUAUAAGACAAUUCAACGGCUUGGGUUAGGUUAAUUCUGCUAUGGCUAUAAAUAAAACCCAUUUGUUUGACAAGAAACCCACUUGAUUGACUUGCCUCAUCCUUUCCCAUAACAUCAUUCCUGUAGAAUUAAUUAAUUUUAGCAGUUUAUUAUUUAUUAAUUAAUAAGAAUAUAAAGUAUUCCAUUGUUGUUUCCUUGAACAAGCAGCAAAAACAUUUCCUCGACAGAGUUCAAGAAUAGCACCAGCAUCCACAGAAGUGCAGAGUCUGGUGUGGGAGGAAACCCAUCACCAGUUUCGAAGGUUAUAAUCCCAGUACCAAAGUCUCCCACUUAUUGAUUUUGCUACUGGUAAGAAUCAUUACAUUCCUAAAGACAAAAUCGUUGGCCUACUUUACUUGACUUAUGCAGUUAUUGCCGGAAUCUCCGAUUUGAUGUCUUUAUUUCCCUCUUCUUAUGCUCUCUAUUAGUGGGGAAGACUCGCAUUCCUUGAAAGUGGAAACUGCUGCUCCAGUCAAGAUUAAUCAAUUCUUGUAAUAAUAUCGAUCUUAUUAUUCUAUUAUUUUCAUGUCAGUGAAGAUGGUAAUAGCAUUUUCGAAAUAACAUGGGUAGAAGAGAGUUCAUGGUGAAAUCUGGAUUUUUGUGUUUCUUCUUGUUCAAUUUGUUCUCAUUUGCAUAUUGUUCUGUAAUUUAUAACAUAACUACAACCAGAGCUGUCUCACCAGAACAAACUCUAAACUCUCCUAGUCAAAUUUUUGAGUUGGGUUUCUUUACUCCUAACAAUAGUUCUCGUAAUCAAUACGUGGGAAUAUGGUUUACGGAAGUUUCUCCUCAGACUGUGAUUUGGGUUGCAAACAGAGAGAAUCCCAUUACAUCUUCCUCAGCGAGUCUCACAAUUGCCAGUGAUGGGAAUCUGAAGCUUCUGGAUGGGCAGAGGAACACUAUCUGGUGGACGAAUAUUUCUAGCCAAUCGAAUAGUUCAAUUGCUGUACUCUCAGAUGACGGAAACUUCAUUUUGAGGAACAGUGUAACAGGAGAUGAUUUAUGGGAGAGCUCUCAUCAUCCGACUGAUUCUCUCUUGCCAGGCACAUGGUUAGCCUACAAUGAAACAACUGGGAUGAGAAUUACUGCAACUUCCUGGAAAAGUAACAAUGAUCCAUCUAUUGGGGACUUUACUGCUGGUGUACCACCGUUGACACCGCCACAAGCCUGCGUUUGGAAGGGAUCGAAACCUCACUGGAGAAGUGGGCCGUGGGGCAAAACCAAGUUCAUCGGAAUACCAGAAAUGGAUGCCGAUUAUAAAAGUGGACUCACACUUAUAGAAGGUCUUCAGCCUGGAAUUGCUUAUCUCACUGUUAGUGUAUUCAAGAACUGCAGUUACUCAAUGUUUGUGGUUUCACCAGCAGGAGUUGUAAGGCUCUUGUGUUGGCUGAAAGAGAGGGGCUGGUUUGCAAGGUGGGAGGCACCAGUCACUCCCUGUGAAGUCUAUGGAGCCUGCGGACCGUUCGGGGUUUGCCAGAGAUAUGCACCAAAUCUAACCUGUAGAUGCUUGAAAGGGUUUGUGCCAAAGUCGGACGACGAAUGGAGGAAAGGAAACUGGACCGGAGGAUGUAUCAGGGAGUUUUUUUCAUUUCAUGCAUAAUUUAAAAAUUUAUUAUCAAAUUAGACAGGUUCCGAAAAUAAUUUUGGAUUCUGUGUGUCAAAGGAGUCUAUGUUCGAUACUGAUAGUGCCGAACAAAGCGGAGUUCGACACUAUGAAUGUCGAACUGCAUAUUUUGGUGCAAGCUGGACAUGUUCGACACUCAAAGUGCCGAACAUUGUCGGCACUCAAAGUGCCGAACAUUGUCAGCUUGCAUACAUGACCACAUGCAUGACUCUCAUGCAUGUGGUCAUGCACUGGAGGAAAGAAUUAAAAGAAUAGUCUUCGGCACUUACAGUGGCGAAGACUUUUCUUAGGUUUUAAUAUUAAUAUUUUAAUUAUAUUUAUUUUAAAAAUAUUAAAAUUUAUUAAAUAUUAAAAAAGUUUAAAAAAUUUAAAUAAUAAAUAAUGUUAACACUCAUCUUUUUAUAUAUUAUUAUAAUAUUAAAAAAUUAUUAAUAAUUUUAAAUUAAUUAAAAAAAUUUAUAAGAUGAAUUAAAUAAUUUUGAAUUUUAAUUUAUUAUAUUUUUAAAAAAAAUUUAAACUUUAUUAACUUUUAAUUAUAUUUAUAUAAAAUUAAUAAAUUAAAAUCCAAAAUUAUUUAACUCAUCUUAUAAAUUUUUUUAAUUAAUUUAAAAUUAUUAAAUUUUUUAAUAUUAUAAUAAUAUAUAAAAAGAUGAGUGUUAACAUUAUUUAUUAUUUAAGUUUUUUAAAUUUUUUAAUAUUUAAUAAAUUUUAAUAUUUUUAAAAUAAAUAUAAUUAAAAUAUUAAUAUUAAAACUACAAAAGAAAAAGUCUUCGGCACUUACAGCGGCAAAGACUAUUCUUUUAAUACUCAUUACAUGGGACUCAUGCAUGAGACUCAUGAGAUGAGACUCAUGCAUGUGGUCAUGCAUGCAGGCUGGACAUGUUCGGCACUUUGAGUGCCGAACAUGUCCAGCUUGCACCAAAAUAUGCAGUUCGACACUCAUAGUGUCGAACAACGCUUUGUUUGGCACUAUGAGUAUCGAACAUGCUUGCUGCUCCUUUGACACACAGAAUCCAAAAAUAUUUUCGAAACCCACAUGAUUUGAUAAUAAAUUUUUAAAUUAUGCAUGAAAUGAAAAAAAGCUCUGUAUCAGGCGAACUGAAUUAAGUUGUGGGGGAAAUACAAGUUCUGUUAAUGCACAAGGAGGAAAACCAGAUGGAUUCUUGAAGGUUGGUGGGUUAAAACUUCCUGAUUGGCAUGUAUACUUGAAGGUUUUCGACAAAAAGGAGUGCCAUCAGCGUUGCUUGAGUAACUGUUCUUGCUCAGGUUAUUCAUAUGAAGAUGGAAUAGGCUGUUUGGUUUGGACAACAAACCUUUUGGAUAUGCAUGAGUUACCCUUUGGUGGACAAGAUCUUAAUCUUCGCCUUGCGCUUACAGAAUUGGGUGAAAGUAAUUACAAUUGAACAACUUGUGAAUUUCUUUGUUUCCAUUUUAUUCUUUUCUUGCACAGGGAUUACUAAUUGGGAUCAUUGUUAUCUUGUAGGUGAUCAGAAGACUCAUAUAAAGAUCAUUGUCAGUGUUAUUACUGUUUCAUCUGUCAUCCUCAUUGGUUCCAUGAUUUGUUGUUUCAUGAGGUGGAGAGCGAAGAAAAGGUCUAAGCCUAAAACAAAUGGUAAGAAACUGAUUGCUACUUUAAUGAUGUUGUACAAUGAUCAGGCAACUAGAUUUGACUUAAAUGUUGAAUUUGAAANNNNNNNNNNNNNNNNNNNNNNNNNNNNNNNNNNNNNNNNNNNNNNNNNNNNNNNNNNNNNNNNNNNNNNNNNNNNNNNNNNNNNNNNNNNNNNNNNNNNNNNNNNNNNNNNNNNNNNNNNNNNNNNNNNNNNNNNNNNNNNNNNNNNNNNNNNNNNNNNNNNNNNNNNNNNNNNNNNNNNNNNNNNNNNNNNNNNNNNNNNNNNNNNNNNNNNNNNNNNNNNNNNNNNNNNNNNNNNNNNNNNNNNNNNNNNNNNNNNNNNNNNNNNNNNNNNNNNNNNNNNNNNNNNNNNNNNNNNNNNNNNNNNNNNNNNNNNNNNNNNNNNNNNNNNNNNNNNNNNNNNNNNNNNNNNNNNNNNNNNNNNNNNNNNNNNNNNNNNNNNNNNNNNNNNNNNNNNNNNNNNNNNNNNNNNNNNNNNNNNNNNNNNNNNNNNNNNNNNNNNNNNNNNNNNNNNNNNNNNNNNNNNNNNNNNNNNNNNNNNNNNNNNNNNNNNNNNNNNNNNNNNNNNNNNNNNNNNNNNNNNNNNNNNNNNNNNNNNNNNNNNNNNNNNNNNNNNNNNNNNNNNNNNNNNNNNNNNNNNNNNNNNNNNNNNNNNNNNNNNNNNNNNNNNNNNNNNNNNNNNNNNNNNNNNNNNNNNNNNNNNNNNNNNNNNNNNNNNNNNNNNNNNNNNNNNNNNNNNNNNNNNNNNNNNNNNNNNNNNNNNNNNNNNNNNNNNNNNNNNNNNNNNNNNNNNNNNNNNNNNNNNNNNNNNNNNNNNNNNNNNNNNNNNNNNNNNNNNNNNNNNNNNNNNNNNNNNNNNNNNNNNNNNNNNNNNNNNNNNNNNNNNNNNNNNNNNNNNNNNNNNNNNNNNNNNNNNNNNNNNNNNNNNNNNNNNNNNNNNNNNNNNNNNNNNNNNNNNNNNNNNNNNNNNNNNNNNNNNNNNNNNNNNNNNNNNNNNNNNNNNNNNNNNNNNNNNNNNNNNNNNNNNNNNNNNNNNNNNNNNNNNNNNNNNNNNNNNNNNNNNNNNNNNNNNNNNNNNNNNNNNNNNNNNNNNNNNNNNNNNNNNNNNNNNNNNNNNNNNNNNNNNNNNNNNNNNNNNNNNNNNNNNNNNNNNNNNNNNNNNNNNNNNNNNNNNNNNNNNNNNNNNNNNNNNNNNNNNNNNNNNNNNNNNNNNNNNNNNNNNNNNNNNNNNNNNNNNNNNNNNNNNNNNNNNNNNNNNNNNNNNNNNNNNNNNNNNNNNNNAUGAUAGAUGAAGCAUUGAUGGACUCAUUUUCCUCUACAGAAGUAAGCAGAUGUGUAAAUAUUGGACUUUUAUGUGCACAAGAUCAUGCUGCUGAUAGGCCAUCAAUGGCAGCCGUAGUUUCUAUGCUAAGCGGUGAAAAAACAAAGCUUCCUGAACCAAACCAGCCUACUUUUACGUUUAAAAGCAUCUCCACCAGCAAUUUUCAAUCACAAAGCAACUCUACAUGGUCUGUAAAUAAGGUCACCGAAUCAAUCAUUGAACCACGAUAAACGCCAACUUGUCGGUUAGCUUGUAUUAGACUUUGACAAUCUCACGCUUAUCCUUUUUUUAGAUUUUAGUCAUACCUAGCUUGAGAUUAUUAGUUCCGUGCAAUCGGUCGAUUCGAUUUUGAAUCGAAUCGAAUUAAUUUGAAAAUUAAAUUGUAAAAAUAUAAAAAAUUAAAAAAAUCGAUUAUAAAUAUAUAAUCAAAUUGAAUCGAAUAAAUAAAAAUUGGUUUGGUUUAAAUUGAAAUUUAUAAUUUUUUUAAUUUUUUGCUACUAAAAAAAAAAAUAUACUGUAAAAUUUUCAAAAGUGUUUAUGAAAAAACAAACGAUUAAUAAUUUUUAAUAAUAAAAAUAAAAAAUAUAUAUGAAUAUUUAUAAUAAUACCAAAUACACAAAGAAUUCUGAUAAAAUAAAAAUAAAAGAUAAAAUAAAAAUAGAAGAAGUUUCUUUGCUAUAUUAUUCACAAUAAUCGGAUUUUCGCCGAGGUAUAAUAAAAUAAUCAUAUAAUAAUUUAAUAAAUAUUUCACAUAAAUUUAUUUAUAAAUAUAUUUUGAAUAUAUAAUGAUAAUAUUUAAAAAAAUUUAUAUAAAUCUAUAUAAAAUUUAAAAAUAUAAAUAAAAUUAAUAUUUUAAAUAAUAAAAAUAUAUAUAUAAUUAAUUUUUUGAUUUUUUCGAUUAUUUAAUAUGUUUAAAUCGAAUCGAAUUAAAAAUUAAAUAAAUUAAAAAAUAUUAACUAAAUCAAACUUUUUAAUUAAUUAAAUUAUUAAAUUAAAAUUAAUUAAUUCGAUUUAAUUUUUUAAUUCAAAUCAAUUUACAUUUAUCCGUAAAGAUUAUUGAGUGUAUACAUUAUCUCACUAUUUGAAAUGAAAAAUUUUAUAAAAAUUUAAUUUAAUUGAUUUUUUAAAUAAUUUUCUUAUUUGUAAUAAAAAAAUUUAAUUCUUUUUAGUUUAAUUGAAUAUAAGUUUGUGGAUUUGAAUUUGGCCUUUAGACUUUUAGGCUUAUAUCUCCUUUUCAUUUGGCCCACUAGGCCUUUAAAUACAAUGGUAACAGCAUGUUAGAAAAAAAAAAACCUGCAUCAGUCCAAUUUAAAUAAGCAAUUUCUUAAAAAAUAAUCUGUUGGACUGGAGCAAAUCAAAAUCAAACUGAAGUCGAAUUUGAACUCUGCUCUCCAGUCUCCAAUUCUUGAUUUCAUUAAUAAAACAGAAUCAGACCUGAUCUAACAGGAGGAUUAGUUCUGUUUAUCUUUUUGUUAUUGGGUUGAAGUAGGGAAGUUUUAGAUUUAUUUUAUUUGUGAUCAAUGUUGAUAACUGUGAGGUUUCACGCUUCCUUGAUCGAGUCAAAACUCAUAAAAAUAGAGUGGGUUUUGAGUCCGAAACGCCUUUCGGAAGAUCCACUCAAUAACUCCAGUUCGGAUUCCAUCACAAAGGACGGGCCGGAUCACCUCAGAGCUCAAACUCAGUCCGUAAUACGCCGACCCAAUAAGGCGACAUGGGGAAGAAUGAGCAGAUCCCAUCCUUUCGCAGUCCUGUUCGCACGCGUACCGAAAAAAAUUAAAUGGCCACUUGACAGAGAUAAGGUGACUGACAAAUACGGACCUGACCAAUAAAAACAGACGUCACUUUUGCAGAAAAGCUGUUAAAAGCCACUUGCAAGUAAGAAGAAAGAAAUAAAAAAAGAGAGGAUCUUCUCAGAGACCAAAUUUACACACACUUUUAAUCCAAACUAAUUUCUAAAUCUCAGAGUAUCAAAUGUUAUAAAACUUUAUACUGAUUUAUGAUAUAGCCUCUAAAAUAAAUUAUAAAAAACUAAUUAUUUUACACAGAAUAUAUAUUUAUUAUUUUACUUUUAAUUAUACAAUACAAUAUUCAUCUGUAAUAUUUUAUAUUUUCAAAACUGUAUUAUAAUUUUUUUAAAUUAUAAAAUUCUUAAUUAAUUAUGUUAAACAUUGAUACAAUUUGAAUAAUUUAAUCUAAGAAAAUAAAAAUUUAUUAAUUUUAUAUAUAAUUAAUAUUUAAAAAAUUAAUAUUUAUAUAAUACCUUUUUCAAUUUAAAAAAUAUAAUCUAAUUAAAUUUUAUAUAUAAUUAAUAUUUAAAAAAUUAAUAUUUAUAUAAUACCUUAUUCAAUUUAAAAAAUAUAAUCUAAUUAAAUUUUUAAAUUUUUAUUAAGAAUUUAAAUUAUAAUUUACUUAAAAUCAAAUAAUUUUUUUAAGAAUAAAAUUUAAAAUCCUUCAUAUUUACUCAAAUACAUUUACUAGUAGAUAAAAUUUGAAUAAAUCAAAUUUACUCAAAUUUAAAUUAUAAUUUACUCAAAAUCAAAUAAAAUUUUAUUUAAUAUAAUAUUUUUAUAAUAAUAAAAUAUUAUUUUAAUAUAAAAAAAUUUAUUUUUAAAUUUUAAAAAUUAUUUACUAUUUUAUUUUUUAAAAAUUUAUAUUAAUUAAAAUGCUUCUCUUUUUAUUCUAUAAAUUUUAUUAUUUUAAAAUUAUUAUUUAUUUUUUAAAUACAAUUAAUAUAUUUAAAAUGAAUUUAUUAAUAUUUAUAUUUAUUAAUACAAUAUAUUUAAAAUGAUAAUAUUUAAAAAAAUUUAAAAAAAUUUAUUAAUAUUUAAUAAAAAUUAAUAUAUUUAAAAUGAAUAUAAUUGAAAAAUUAAUAAAAAAUAUUAUAUUUUUAAUAUAUAUAUAUAAUAAAAUAAAUAAAAAUUAUAAAAAAUAAUAAUUUUUAUAUUUAAAAUUGUAAAAAUUAAUAUUUUAUUAUUAAAAAUAAUAUUAUAUUAUAUAAAAUUUUAUUUGACAUACUAAUUAGUUAAAAAAUUUUAAAAUUUUUUUCAUAAAAAAAAAAUUAUUUAAUUUUAAAUAAAUUUAUGUGAAUUUAAUUCAACUUAUUUAUAUGAUUUAAGAGUUAAACAAAUAUUCGGGCGACAAACAUUUGCGACUUGCGAAACCCGUGCUUAGCUUCGCUUUCACCCAUCUUCAUCACAGUGAGCACGUGCCAAAGAUCCACCAGAUCAAAUGUGAAAAGGUCGACCGCUACAACGUUUUUUACGGUUGCGGCCAAUAGUUGCGGGUCGGAAAUGGAUAUGCCAGAGAAGGAAAAAUCCGGCGUUUUUGGUUCCGACAUAUUUUUAGAAGUUAGCGAACGUUCUUUGGACUCCGUCGGUCCACACCCACUUUUUGACCAGGAAAAACUGUAGCUAGUAGCUACUAGACGCCCCAUAAACAAAAGGUAUGGACUUUUUGGCUGGUGCCACGAGCUCAGGCAGCUUGGAGCUUAAUACCGUACCUCCUCGACAUGUUGAAAAGAAUUUUUUAUCAUAAUUGUAAAUAAAUCAAUGAUCAAAUCUUAUUAUUUUUAAUAUAAUAUAAUUAUAAGACAUAAUUAAAGAUACUAUUAAAAAUUUAAUUAUUUAUAUUAUAUAUUAUAUAAAUUCUGUAAUUUACUAUAGAAGAUGGAAGAAAAUAAAAAUAAUUUUCUUCCUAUAAUUUUAAGAUGGUAUCAAAGUAGGUUUCGAUCUAAAAAUAUAGCCGUCCUGUAAUAAUCCUUUACUAGAUAUCUUUUUCAACUUCUUUCUCUCACCAAAAUAACAAUGACCGACUUUCCCAGCCCGGCUGACCAAUCCCAAGCAAUAAUUGAUCAAAUAGCAGACCUGUCACAAAAACUAUUCUAGUUAAUUCAGAAUAGCCAAAAUGAAAAUUAGAAAUCAGUGAAUCAAUUCACUCUUGAUUCAGCACAGCCACCGUCCGACAUAAAAUUGAAUGAUUUCAAUUAUGUUAUAUGGACAAAGAUGAUGGAGAUGUUUAUCACUAGGCGGGGGAAAUCAAACCAUCUGACUGGGACUCCCCCCCUCCGACAGAAACAGACCCUGCAAUUUACCUGUGGCAAACUAAUGACAGCAUUGUCCGAGGAUGGUUAAUCCAGACGGUAGAGCAGAAGCUCCGUCCAAAUUUAUUGCAGCACAAGACAAGCAAAGGACUCUAGGAUGCCCUCAAGAUCAUAUUCAAUACAGGUAGCAACAAACUUAUCAUUUACGAGUUACAGUCUAAAGCAUACAAAUUAACACAACAAGGAAGCAAUCUGGAAGAUUUAUACAACGAUCUUCAGGCCAUCUGGGCCGAGAUCGAUGAAAGACAACCGACCAGAAUCGAAGGAGACAACAAUAUUAUUAUCCGGAAUUGAGAAAUCCAGGAGGAACGUCUGUACCUAUUUUUGGCUGGAGUAUAGUCGGACCUCGUUCCAGUCCGUCGAGAAAUUCUCAACGAAGAGCCAUUGCCGACCUUGGACAAUGCCUACUCUCAGCUCUGAGGUGAGAAGUUGCACCGUGACAUCCACGUUCCUCUUCCAUCACCAGCGACAGUAGGUUCCGACCUCGUGGGUGUCGGUCUAUUGGCUAAAAAUGGGUCAGACACAGACAAGUCAUCACUCCGGGAUGACAAAUCGGGCUUAAAAUGCACCCAUUGCGGUGGAUCUCGACAUACCCGGGACGUAUGCUUUAAGAUCAUAGGGUAUUCAGAGUGGUGGGAGGAAAACAAGACCCGUAAGAAGAAAGGAAAGGGACAAGGCGCAGGGAAUAUGGCCACAGUCACUACCAGCGGCACCAAAAGGCUGCCUGCGGCAACAAUUUGAUUGGACAAACGGAAGAAAACUCAGGCGACGGACAGAGCUCAGGGGUUGCAGCAGCGCUACAAGGAGCCGCGAAAGGAGGAGACACGGGUGUCCCUUAUGAUCGGGAAGGAGGUAUUUUAGGGUUAGAAAGGAGGGCAAAUGACCUUUCUACCCCUAUCUCUUUAAAUAAAUCUAAAUGUGCCCCUGCUUGUUUUAAUUCUUGUAAAAUUAAAUCCCUGGUCUCGAAUAUUUUAGAUAAGUCUGUUUGUAAUCCCAAAACUGAAUCGUUAGCCCUUAAUUCUAUCGGUCAUGCUAACAAGGUACAAAAUAAUAGUGGGUGGAUAUUUGAUUCAGGAGCCACAGACACUAUGACUUGAUUCUUCAGAUUUUGUUGUGUCAGCCCUACCCCCAAAAUCCAAUAUUCUAAACGCUACCGGUGGCUCCUUCUUUGUCAUCGGUGGUGGUACAGUUUCUAUAACCCCACUUUAAAUGUCUCCAACAGCCUCUAUGUACCUUCCUUAUCUUGCAAAUUACUCUCUGUCAGUCAGAUCACCAAACAGUUAAAUUGCAGAGUACUCAUAUAUCCUCAUUUUUGUGUUUUGCAGGAUAUUCAUACGGGCACAGUACUGGGCCGUGGUACUGAGAAAAAUGGACUAUACUAUGUAGAGGAGGUCUCAAGUACUAGGUCAGCUCAUUUAGCUCAAGGGUCCUCAACCCGACAGUUAUGGCUCUGACACCGGCGCUACAGCCAUCCCUCAAGUGAUUAUCUUGUACUUUAUUUCCUGAGUUUAAAUCCACUGACAUUCCAGUUUGUACUUCAUGCGUGCUUGCUAAGAGUCAUAAGAGUACUUAUCAUAUAUCCACAAAUAAAUUUGAUACUCCUUCUCAAUAAUACACUUUGAUAUAUAGGGGCCUGCCCCGGAAACUGUCUCCCCUGAUUAUAGAUACUUUGUGACUUUUAUUGAUGAUUGCACUCGUGUUACUUGGAUUUAUCUGUUAAAACAAAAAUGCAAAGUGGCUGAGAAAUUCUGUGAUUUUUUCCGCAUGAUUAAAAUCCAAUUUCACAGGACCAUUCAAGUCCUCCGAUCUGACAAUGGGGGGGAAUUUGUUAAUAACCAUCUCCAAACCUUUUUCCGGGAUAAUGGGAUCCUUCACCAAACUACUUGUCCUUAUACACCACAGCAAAAUGGGGUUGCUGAAAGGAAAAAUCGACAUAUCAUUGGGACUGCCCGAGCCCUAUUGUUUGAAGCCCAAGUUCCUCCUAAGUUUUGGUCUGAAGCAGUUGCCACGUCCAUUUACCUCAUCAAUCGACUUCUGUUGUAAUACCCGGCUAAAUCCGGCAUCGGAAUUCCUACCGUCCGGUGGAAUUCAAGGAUGUCAGAGGUUUUUAGAAGGGUAGAGUGAAGGUUUUAAGUAUUAUUUUAAAGUUUUAAAUAGAAUAGGAUUGAGUUUUUGCAGAGAAAAAGGUUUUGGGGACAAAGGCCAGGUUCGGCCGCCGAAGGUAAGUUCGGCCGCCGAAAGUGCCCAAUGUUCGGCCCCCGAAGUUUAAGUUCGGCCCCCGAACGUUGCAUGGUUUUGCAUGCAGUUUCGGCAGCCGAAGCUGAGGUGGUCGGCUAAGCUGUGCACGCUCCUCAGUCCGUGGUUUGGCCAGGUGUUUGCCUCCAGAUCGUGAGCAGAGGUUAGGCCACGUUUCCCUUGACUCAUCUGCAAGCUUUUAAUCAGCUUGUGCAGAGGGUUGAGUGUGUUUCAAAGGGUUUUGAAGGUUUUUGAGAGAAAAGAGAGAAAAGUGAGGUUUUGGUAAUGUUUGAAGAGGAGUUGCUGAGUUUAGUGUUCAGGUUGUUCCUCUUCUGGUUUCAGGAGGUAAGGGAAGCUUUUAUGUUUAUUUUACUAAGUUUUUAACAGCUCCAAAAGUGGUCAAGGGUAGAGAUGCAUGAGGUGUAUGCUUAGGUUAGUGUUGAUGUGUUUAUGUAGAAGUUUGAUUACAUGUUAUGUUUGCUGUUUUGUUGGGGUUAAUAGGUAGGUUUGGACCCCUUUGAACAUAUACCAGAGUAUAUGUGAGCUAAGAGUGAGUUAUGCAUGUUAGAGAAGAGGAGAGGUUGAAGGAAGGAAGUUGCUGGCGAAGCUGAGUUCAUGAAGAACUCAGGUUCGGCAGCCGAAGAGGAGAUUCGGCCGCCGAAGGUACUUGAGUUUCGGCUCUGUUCAGGACAUUCGGCCGCCGAACCUGCCGCCGAAUGUGUUCUGUCCAGCCUUCUUUUGCAUGCUUUGUGUGAUUGUUUUUAGAGGUUCAGAAGGGAUUAUGGGGGAUUGUUUAAGAGUUGAUAAGAGUAUGUUUGACACCUCAUUCGAGUCCAUUUGUGUAGGAUUGGACCCGACAGUUCAGGGAGGUCGUCAGGAUUAGCAGUUGCAGAGUCAGUCAGGUUUCUGCUUGAGGAGCAGAGGUGAGUAGAACUAAACUUAAUGUUUUAUAUUAAAGUAACAGAAUGCUUGUUAGCAUAGUUCAUGCAUCAUGAAUGCUAUGAUAUGUAUUAGGGUGAUUUCAUUAGAAUCACGAAGAUGGUGCAUUGCAUUAUUCAUUUGAUAGUGAGGAUUGGACCAAGGCGACAUCAAUAGCCCGUCGAGGGAGUUUUGAGGUCAUGUCUAAUCCAAGAUGUGGAAUGUUUGAGUUGUGAUGCAUUUUCAUACAAGAUGCGUAUGAAUGAACUGUUUUCAGUAUUUCUACUCACUGGGCUAUAGUAGCUCAUCCCUUUCCCUUAAUUCCAGUUUUGCAGGUACAGAGUUAGCUGGGGAGUCAGAAGCAUCAGAGUGUUGGCUCCAGUAUGCUUGUGUAAUAGUGUAGUAGUGGACAUGAUGUAAAUGAAAGAGAUAUUUAUUACAGAUGUAUAGAUUGUCAGUUAAUGUGCUUAUGGUCUAGUGUGUGCUCUGCCUAUAGUAUGUGUUGAUCCCUUGUGUAUGCAUAUAUCCUGUUUUAAAUUUCUUGAUGAGAAAUGAGUCAAACCAGGCUUAAUAAAUGUUGUGUUUCGAAAACCCAGUGAAUGAUAACUGUGAGGGAAGAUAGGGUUUAAUUCCUUUGACCCAAGACCAGUGCAGAGGAAAGACCAGGUUUGAUUCCUGUGAUCCAUAGAGAGGCCAAUAGAGAAGACCAGGUUUGAUUCCUGUGACUCUAUGGUAGCUAAGUUAACUUAUGAUAUGCUGACCCUUACAGAGUGGGUUCUAUGACACGGAGCAUAGUGCAUGGAGGUUACUUGGUAGAGUAUCACUGGUUUAGCCCUGAGGGCUAUUUCAGAUUGAGAUGUCUGAUGUUUUAAAGGUUAAGUCUGGUAAUUUUAAAGAAAAGUUAGGAGUCGUGUUGGAUCAUAUAUGGGAUUUUAUCAGGACCAUAGAGUUCAUAGCAGGCUUACUACAGGUCUAGGCGGCCUUAAGCCGAUCUGGAUCCUAGUGCCGAGCACUUUGGGCCGUUACAGAGAGGUACCGGUUUCCGGGGUGUUACAUCUGUCUUCCGUCCUUAUUUUCCAAUCUCCCUUGCAUACCUUGUCCUCUCAUCACACCAUCCCUUCACAUCUCAACCUUCCACCUAAAAUCUUUGGUUGCACAGUUUAUGUUCACAUUCCUAAAACACACCGCACUAAACUUGAUCCAUGUGCUCUUAAGUAUGUUUUCUUUGGUUAUGGUGUCCAUAAAAAGGGCUAUCGGUGUUUUGACGAAUCUCUAAACGGCUCUUCACUACCAUGGACUGCACCUUUCUGGAAGAGAAAUAUUUUUUUCCCUCGCCAACUAGCAGUGAGGGGGAGACAAAGGCACAAUCACCACCACUGUCAAAUUGGCUUAGUCAGGGGGGCUAGAACAUGAUCAUUCUUCUCUUCCUGAGUCUACACCAGAACUGGGAGACACUGACCAUCUAGUACCGUCCUCGGCCUCAACGUCACAACCAGAACUUGAAACCGUAGAAUAUCCUGAGGAACACACAACUGAGGUAUGUGAAUCUAAACUUUCCCCUAUUUCUAAUAACCUUACCACUGAAUCCAUUUCUCUUGAGGUUCCUGAAACAGGCCAAUAUGUUCUACCCCCUCGGAAUAAUAGAGGAAUUCCACCCAGGAGAUAUGAUUCGGAAUUCGAGGCAGCCAGGUCCAGAUACCCUGUGGCAAAUGUUACCAGAGGAAAAAGACUAUCACCUCAGUUGGUCAACCUACAGAAAAAUAUUUGCUCAGAAUGGAUACCAAAGGAUGCCACAGAGGCCCAGAAGGACAAAAGAUGGGUUGAAGCGAUGGAGACCGAGAUGGAUGCCCUGGAGAAAAAUAAGACCUGGGAAAAAUACUGGCUACCCAAGGGAAAACGAGCAGUGGGAUGCAAAUAGGUGUUUAUCAUAAAGUAUAAGUCAGAUGGAACGGUGGACAGAUAUAAAGCUAGACUUGUAGCAAAAGGAUAGACUCAGACAUAUGGAGUUGACUAUUCUGAAACAUUCUCUCCAAUAGCAAAAAUUAAUACAAUACGGGUCCUAUUCUCUCUAGCUGCAAACCUAGACUGGCCACUUCACCAAUUUGAUGUGAAAAAUGCUUUCUUACAUGGUGAUCUACAGGAGGAAGUAUACAUGGAUGCUCCACUAGGGUUCAUGAGUGGAUAUAGAAGGGGAGAAGUGUGUCGAUUAAGGCGAGCCUUGUAUGGGUUGAAACAGUCACCCAGAGCAUGGUUUGGGAGAUUUACUCAAGCAAUGAAGAAAAAUGGAUAUCUGCAGAGUAACUCCGAUCACACUUUAUUCUUAAAGAGGCAAGGAAGGAAGAUCAUGUGUUUAAUUAUAUACGUGGAUGACAUGAUUAUAACUGGAGACGAUGUGGACGAUAUCAAACAACUGAGGGACAACUUAUUCCAAGAAUUUGAGAUGAAAGACCUGGGGAUGUUAAAAUAUUUUCUUGGAAUCGAAGUUCUAAGAUCAAACCAGGGAAUUCUGAUAUCACAGAGAAAGUACAUUCUUGAUCUGUUAACUGAAACAUGAAUGAUAGAUUGCAAAUCAGUCGAUACUCCGAUAAUGGUCAAUCACGAGUUGAGCAAGGACUCAAAAGAAGGACCCACAGACAAAGGGAGGUACCAGAGACUGGUAGGAAAACUGAUUAUUUAUCACACACCAGACCAAACGUGGCAUAUGCUGUGAGUUUAGUAAGUCAGCUCAUGCAUGAUCCAAAACAAGACCAUAUGGAGGCAGCAUUGAGAAUCGUUCGAUAUCUAAAAGGAACAGCUGGGAUGGGCAUGUUGUUCAAAAAGAAUGGUCAUUUCAGUAUCAGUGGAUAUACGGACGCAAGUUGGGCAGGAGAUCUCUCCGACAGACGAUCUACUUCAGGAUACUUUACCUUUGUCGGAGGAAAUUUGGUAACGUGGAAAAGUAAGAAACAAAAGGUGAUGGCAGAAUUCAGGGGAGUAGCAAAAGGACUGGCAGAACUCCUAUGGAUCAGAAAGUUGAUGUUUGAGCUUGAAUUCCCAUCAAAGGAUGCAGCUGAACUCCAUUGUGACAAACAAGGCAGCAAUAAGUAUUUCUGAAAAUCCAAUUCAGCAUGACCGAACAAAACAUGUUGAAAUAGACCGACAUUUUAUCGAAGAAAAGUUGGACAGUGGUCUGAUAUCUUUACCGUUUAUUCGAUCAGAUGAUCAAUGGGCGGAUAUCCUAACCAAAGCAGUAGCUGGACGAAUAUUCUAUAAGGUUUUGGGCAAGUUGAAUAUACUAGAUCCACAUAAACCAACUUAAGGGAGAGUGUUGGAAAAAAUCUUCUGUCAUAAUUAUAAAUAAAUCAGUGAUCAAGUCUUACUAUUUUUAAUAUAGCAUGAUUCUAAGACAUAAUUAAGGAUACAAUCAAAAGCCUAAUUAUUCAUAUUAUGUACUAUAAAAAUUUUAUAACAUAGUACAUGAUAAGUAAAAAAAUAAAAACAGUUUUUUUCCUUUAAUUUCAAUAAGGCAAUUAGUUCGUGAUGCACCGGUGGGUCACCACCUAAUUUAAGAUAUUAGAAAAAAGAUGAAAACUUUUCCCUCUAAUGGGUAAUGGUGUAUGAAGUCGAUGUAACUUAUUUGAAGUUGCCUGCAUAUAAGACAAUUCAACGGCUUGGGUUAGGUUAAAUCGGCUAUGGCUAUAAAUAAAACCCAUUUGUUUGACAAGAAACCCACUUGAUUGACUUGCCUCAUCAUUUUCCAUCCUGUAGAAUUAAUUAAUUUUAGCAGUUUAUUAUUUAUUAAUUAAUAAGAAUAUAAAGUAUUCCAUUGUUGUUUCCUUGAACAAGCAGCAAAAACAUUUCCUCGACAGAGUUCAAGAAUAGCACCAGCAUCCACGGAAGUGUAGAGUCUGGUGUGGGAGGAAACCCAUCACCAGUUUGGAAGGUUAUAAUCCCAGUACCAAAGUCUCCCACUUGAUUGAUUUUGUCUACUGGUAAGAAUCAUUACAUUCCUUAAGACAAAAUCGUUGGCCUACUUUACUUGACUUGUGCAGUUAUUGCCGGAAUCUCCGAUUUGAUGUCUUUAUUUCCCUCUUCUUAUGCUGUCUAUUAGUGGGGAAGACUCGUAUUCCUUGAAAGUGGAAACUGCUGCUCCAGUCAAGAUUAAUCAAUUCUUGUAAUAAUAUCGAUCUUAUUAUCUAUUAUUUUCAUGUCAGUGAAGAUGGUAAUAGCAUUUUAGAAAUAACAUGGGUAGAAGAGAGUUCAUGGUGAAGUCUGGAUUUUUGUGUUUCUUCUUGUUCAAUUUGUUCUCAUUUGCGUAUUGUUCUGUAAUUUAUAACAUAACUACAACCAGAGCUGUCUCACCAGAACAAACUCUAAACUCUCCUCGUCAAAUUUUUGAGUUGGGUUUCUUUACUCCUAACAAUAAUUCUCGUAAUCAAUACGUGGGAAUAUGGUUUAAGGAAGUUUCUCCUCAGACUGUGAUUUGGGUGGCAAACAGAGAGAAUCCCAUUACAUCUUCCUCAGCGAGUCUCACAAUUGGCAGUGAUGGGAAUCUGAGGCUUCUGGAUGGGCAGAGGAACACUAUCUGGUCGACGAAUAUUUCUAGCCAAUCGAAUAGUUCAAUUGCUGUACUCUCAGAUGAUGGAAACUUCAUUUUGAGGAACAGUAUAACAGGAGAUGAUCUAUGGGAGAGCUCUCAGCAUCCGUCCGAUUCUCUCUUGCCAGGCACAUGGUUAGCCUACAAUGAAACAACUGGGAUGAGACUUACUGCAACUUCCUGGAGAAGUAACAAUGAUCCAUCUAUUGGGGACUUUACUGCUGGUGUACCACCGUUGACACCGCCACAAGCCUUCGUUUGGAAGGGAUCGAAACCUCACUGGAGAAGUGGGCCGUGGGCCAAAACCAAGUUCAUCGGAAUACCAGAAAUGAAUGCUGAUUAUAAAUGUGGACUCACACUUAUAGAAGGUCUUCAGCCUGGAAUUGCUUAUCUCACUGUUAGUGUACUCAGGAACUGCAGUUACUCAAUGUUUGUGGUUUCACCAGCAGGAGUUUUAAGGUUCUUGUGUUGGGUGAAAGAGAGGGGCUGGUAUGCAAGGUGGGAGGCACCAGUCACUCCCUGUGAAGUCUAUGGAGCCUGCGGACCGUUCGGGGUUUGCCUGAGAUAUGCACCAAAUUUAACCUGUAGAUGCUUGAAAGGGUUUGUGCCAAAGUCUGACGACGAAUGGAGGAAAGGCAACUGGACCGGAGGAUGUAUCAGGCGAACUGAAUUAAGUUGUGGGGGAAAUACAAGUUCUGUUAAUGCACAAGGAGGAAAACCAGAUGGAUUCUUGAAGGUUGGUGGGUUAAAACUUCCUGAUUGGCAUGAAUACUUGAAGGUUUUCGAUGAAAACGAGUGCCACCAGCAUUGCUUGAGUAACUGUUCUUGCUCAGGUUAUUCAUAUGUAAAUGGAAUAGGCUGUUUGUUUUGGACAACAAACCUUUUGGAUAUGCAUGAGUUACCCUUUGGUGGAG